GACGAACGCUGGCGGCGUGCUUAACACAUGCAAGUCGAACGGAAAGGCCCUGCUUGCAGGGUACUCGAGUGGCGAACGGGUGAGUAACACGUGGGUGAUCUGCCCUGCACUUCGGGAUAAGCCUGGGAAACUGGGUCUAAUACCGGAUAGGAGCCAUUUUUAGUGUGAUGGUUGGAAAGUUUUUUCGGUGUAGGAUGAGCUCGCGGCCUAUCAGCUUGUUGGCGGGGUAAUGGCCUACCAAGGCGGCGACGGGUAGCCGGCCUGAGAGGGUGGACGGCCACAUUGGGACUGAGAUACGGCCCAGACUCCUACGGGAGGCAGCAGUGGGGAAUAUUGCACAAUGGGCGCAAGCCGGAUGCAGCGACGCCGCGGGGGGGAUGACGGCCUUCGGGUUGUAAACUCCUUUCGCUAGGGACGAAGCUUUUUGUGACGGUACCUAGAUAAGAAGCACCGGCUAACUACGUG
rnacentral:rRNA from 1 species